rnacentral:rRNA from 1 species
UGGGGAAUAUUGGACAAUGGGCGCAAGCCUGAUCCAGCCAUGCCGCGUGUGUGAAGAAGGCCUUUUGGUUGUAAAGCACUUUAAGCGAGGAGGAGGCUACUUGGAUUAAUACACUAGGAUAGUGGACGUUACUCGCAGAAUAAGCACCGGCUAACUCUGUGCCAGCAGCCGCGGUAAUACAGAGGGUGCGAGCGUUAAUCGGAUUUACUGGGCGUAAAGCGUGCGUAGGCGGCUUUUUAAGUCGGAUGUGAAAUCCCUGAGCUUAACUUAGGAAUUGCAUUCGAUACUGGGAAGCUAGAGUAUGGGAGAGGAUGGUAGAAUUCCAGGUGUAGCGGUGAAAUGCGUAGAGAUCUGGAGGAAUACCGAUGGCGAAGGCAGCCAUCUGGCCUAAUACUGACGCUGAGGUACGAAAGCAUGGGGAGCAAACAGG